GAAUAAACCUUUUCAUAAAGGGGGGAAGGGGGGGGUUUUAGAAGAUUCUUUUUUCCCAUAGGGGGGGGGGGGGGCGGGUCCUGACGGACCCUUUGAGGGCCCUUGACCAUUUUUGGCAAUCUGAAUAAAAAUUGCCCCAACUUUAAACUUUCAACUAAACAUGUCUUGAUUCUGGCUUCUAUUGUUAAAUAAAAACAAAACUUAAAACAACGAAUAAGGAGGUUCUGGCAUCGUCAACGAAUCUUUUAACGCACAUUAAGCCCAUAAAUUGCUAAAUUCCAGGCCUGUUCAAAUCUUUUUCGCCAUUGCGCCCUUUUAAUUCCGAAGGGCAUGCCUGUUCGAGUCCUUAAUCACCCCUCAAGCCCCCGGAUUGUCGUUGGACCGUUUGGUGGAAACCCCCCUCUUCUGGCCCACAGCUCCACAAUCCCACCACACCUGCCUAUUUUUAGAUGGGGCACACUGGAUUCUGCACGAAACCCCUCUCAAACAAAACGAACUUACAGGCGACGGAAUACCUCCCCUCAGGAAGAAUCUUCUUAAAGUUGACCUCUGAUCAGGAAGGGAUUCCCGCUGAACUUUAGCAUAACAAUGAGCUGAGG
rnacentral:sRNA from 1 species